UAAAAAAAAUCAUGUAAUACUACAUCAGUGUUAUGUUAUUGUAUGACUUCAUCUUUUAUACAGUCGGGUUCGGGGUUUCGGGCAGCCAUAGCGAAUUUCGGCAAGAUUUUACCCCAGUGAAAAAGGCUUGUAAUCCACAGUGAUCAGCUAAGAUGUUGUUUCACUGGAUUAUUUAAUUGGGCAUAUAAUUGGAUAAUUCUGGAUCAGCUGAGAUGUUAUUUCACUGGAUUAUUUAAUGCAUAGGCUAAUUGGGCAUAUAGUUGAAUAUCUCUGUCCUCAACCUGGAAGAUAUGUUUUGUUCCUAACCAUCUAUAAUCCAUUCUCUAUGAAGUUCAGACUGUCUGCUCUUCCUUUGGAAAUACACAGUUAGUCAACCAACAUAGAAACACACAAACUUGAAGGUAAAGUUUCAAUGAGAUACAAUUGUAAUAUAUAUU